AUAAGACGAGCAAAAAGCUCGU
rnacentral:miRNA from 1 species